rfam:Symbiodinium microadriaticum strain CCMP2467 Smic.scaffold482, whole genome shotgun sequence.
UACUCCGAAGGGAAUCCUCCGAUAAAAUUGGAACGAUACAGAGAAGAUUCGCGUGGCCCCUGCGCAAGGAUGACACGCACAAAUCGAGAAGUGUACCGUACCAAGUUUUG